GGGUUGGAAGUUGGUUGUGAUUCUAAUUGUGAUUUUAGUACUAUAUUACGUUGGUUAGAUGAAAUAGAACAAUUAAUUAUAUACUAUUUUUGUAUUUUGAUUUAUUUAAGUUAUUUUACAUUUGGGUUUGGGUUUAUGAAUUCGGGUUUAGAGUUUAGUAUUUAGGGCUUCGAGGUGGGUUUGUUCAGGAUCUUGUAUUUCAGGGUCGGAGGUUGGUUGAGAUUGGAGAUUGGUUGUGAUUCUGAUUGUGGUUAUAGUACUAUACUAUGUUGGUGAAAUGAAAUAGAACAGUUAAAUUUAUACUAUUUUCGUAUUUUAAUUUAUUAAAGAUAUUUUACAUUUGAGUUUGGGUUUAUGAAUUCAGGUUUAAGGUUUAGUAUUUAUGGCUUUGAGGUGGGUUGGUUUAAGGUUUAGUAUUUCAGUGUUGGAGGUUGGUUGUGAUUCUGGUGGUUAUAGUAUUAUACUAUGUUGGUGAGAUGAAAUUGAACAAUUAAAUUUAUACUAUUUUUGUAUUUUAAUUUAUUAAAAAAAUUUUAUAUUUGGGUUUGGGUUUAUGAAUUCGGGUUUUGGGUUUAGUAUUUAUGGAUUUGAGGUGAGUUGGUUUAGGGUUUAGUAUUUCAGUGUUAAAGGUUGGUUGUGAUUCUAGUGAUUUUAGUACUAUACUACAUUGGCGAGGUGAAAUAAAAUAGUUAAUUAUAUAUUAUUUUAUAUUUUAAUUUAUUAAAGAUAUUUUACAUUGGGUUUGGGUUUAUGAAUUUGGGUUUAGGGGUUAGUAUUUAUGGUUUCGAGGUGGGUUGGUUUAAGGUCUAAUAUUUCAGGGUUAGAGAUUGGUUGGUGUUGGAAGUUGGUUGUGAUUCUAAUUGUGUUUAUAGUACUUUACUAUGUUCGUGAGAUGAAAUAGAAUAUUUCAUUUUCCAUCAUGUGUACAAUUGUCAUAUAUGUUUCGUAUAAUUAAGUGUUCCUAAAAAAAUCACGUCUCUUAUAUUUGGAAGUGGAACUGACAACCUGUUACGUGAAGGGAUAUAACCGGUUUAAUUGAGAUCAAAAAGUCUGACAUUAAAUUAUGUCAAAAUCAAUAUUAGUUAUUUAAUUUGUUUCUCAAAUAUGGCUAUUUCGCCAAUAAGCCCAAAGAUAAAAUCUCACAAUCAGUUGCUAAAAAAAAAAAAUCUCACAAUCACAAACCACAAAUCCCUAAUCCUCUCAAUGAAAAUUCUAAACCCACCGAUUGAAUCACACUAACCCACCGCUGAAACCACUCUCUCUCUCGUCGAUUAAGCUCCUCUAACCCACUGAUGAAAAUCCAUAAACCCUUAGAGCUGCUACCAAUCUGGAUUUUGUGUUUCAAAACAAUGCUCCAAAAGGUUCUCUGCUCAAACGUGAACCGUAAUCCCCCUUCUGUCGUCUGAAGAAACGGAGAAGACGGUGGUACGAGCGUCCUGAGAUUUGUCGACGUGUUAUGUGGAUGAGGAGCAUGUUAUGGGUUUCAGAGCUUUCGAUGUGGAUGAUGUUUGUUUGAUUCUGUUGUCCUGUUUUCAUGGAUGCCAGAAAUUUACAGGCGGAGUAAACAAUAUUCCUGAGCUUUUGUGAUUCCUCAGGACUCAGUCCAUUGAUACUGUUCGAGGAGAAGGAGGGAAGAGUACUUUGGGAACACGCCAAUGGAGGCAGUUCGGUGAGGAGAAGGAAAAGGUGAAGGCUUUGGCAGAGAUUAAAGGGAACACGAGGACUCUCUCUAUGGUUCUUCGAAGAGCGAGAGGGAGCUCCUGAACCUGAACCAGGAUCAGGAGAUUUCAAUCUAUGAGCUUAAGUUUCAGCUUGAAGAUAAGAACCGAGAAUUGAGUAGUUGUAGGAUCUAUGUCUGAAGCAACGCGAGGAGAUAAAGUCGGUGAUAAAUGUACUUCUGUUCCAGAUGCUAUGAUCAGCAAUGCUCAAAACCUUGCUCAGGUGAAGGCCAACAAGUACGUGUCAGAAUCUCUCUUAAGCACGUCCCCUACGGAAAGAAAAUGCGAGUGUCCACAUGAACUCGUGUCUAUGAUGAACUCAUGUCCACAUUUGUUUCAUCCAUAUCUUUUGUGUCCACGCUUCUUCAAUCCACGUAUUCCAUUUUCUAUAGAAACCUCAGAUGAGUGGUCUAAUUCUAUUUACUUACAUUUUCGUAUGAUUGAGAACUUUUUGUAUAAAACAUUUUCUGGUUCAAAUUAGCAACAAGCAAGAAAUUAUAUGAUUUUGUGAUGUGUUCAUUUAAUAUGAAACAAAAGUUUAAUAUAAAAUUAACUUAUUUUAACAAUAGAUAUUAUUAUAACUUGUCCACAAAGAGAUAAAUUCAUGUAUACUAUCUAUUAUUAUAACUUGUCCACAAAAAGAUAAAUUCAUGUAUACUAUCUAUUAUUAUAACUUGUAUAUAAGAGUUUUUACAUUUUGCUCAAAAAAGAGUUUUUUCGUUUUUUUGGCCAUCCAUAUCCACAUUUUUGUUCUAUUCAUAUAUUUUUUAGUAUAUGAACACAGAAUAUUGUAUUCUGUCCACAUUUUUUAUAUUUAAAAUAUAUAAUAAUAUAUAUGAAAGUGGAUCUUAAAACAUAGAGAAAAAGAAACUAUAAUAUACUGUAACAAUUAUAGCCGUUUUAUAUAUUUUAAAUUCUAAGAAAAAGAAAAUAAAACAUUAGAUGUAAUGAAUAAUAAUAAUAAUUUAAAAUAUAAAAGAAAACUAGACGUCCUCACUAGUAAAUAUAUAAUAAUAUAUAUGAAAGUGGAUCUUAAAACUGCAUUCGUUUUUGAUUGCUUGUCGUGUCACAACAUUUUUCUUUCUGAGCUUCUGCAUGUGGUUCAUUCAUAUCGUCCAACCUAGUUUUCUGUAAAUGUUAACUAAUUUUAAUUUUCUACAUGUAACUAAAAGAAACACAAUUAUCAAUAAGCAGACAUGAGAGCUAACUUAUCCUUUGCGUCAACAAGAGCAGCAUUAACACUGUUUGUUACAUAAAUUUCUUAGUCUAAUUGUGAUUUAAAAGAAAAGAAAAAAAGUAAUUAGCACAAGAGGCGUCUCUUAAUUAGGCACUGUAGGAGCACCCGCAAUGGUGUUAUUCAAAGGAGAGUCCUUAGAAAAAGUGUAUUUUGAUUUUUUAAGUAUUAUUAUUUUAUUUUUUUUUUAGAUAAAAAAAAUAAAUAUCAACCAAUCGCGGGUCACCACAUGUUGUCGGGAUCCGCAAAUAGUGCAAGGAUUCACUAAGAAAGAGUCCUUAUUUAGGAAUUUUAAGAAUUGAAUCCUUAACUUUUGGUGGGAUCUACCGAUUACUUAAUUAUUUUUUUCCUAAGGAUUCCCCCUUAAGGAUUCCCAUUGCGGGUGCUCUAUAAGCAUCUUUAACGCGGUUUUUUAGUGCCAUCUCUUUAUUUAAUUAUGAUUAAAAAAAAAGAAAAUUAGCUAUUAAUUGAACAAGCGUUUCUUAACUAAGCGUUUAAAGAGACGGCUCUUAGGGACACUUGUCCUCCCACCUCUCUCCCGACGGAUCUCCUCUCCUCUCUCUCCAGUCUUCGUCUUCGUCUUCUUACUCACCCUUCUCUGCAGUCUUCAACAUUUCUAAACCCUUCUCUCCAGUCUUCGUCUUCGUUUAAAGAGACGGCUCUUAGGGACACUUGUCCUCCCACCUCUCUCCCGACGGAUCUCCUCUCCUCUCUCUCCAGUUUUCGUCUUCGUCUUCUUACUCACCCUUCUCUGCAGUCUUCAACAUUUCUAAACCCAAUCCAUCUCUCAACCCAGCGGCUUUUCUCGCUCCUUCUUUGAAAUUCUCCACCGCCAUAUCUUUUUUUUUUGAAUUAUACAGAGGUAUCCUGGCCCUACAUAAAUGAUCCAGACUAGUCACGUGUUGUCAUGUGUCGGUCCUCUGUCCCUGGCGAUGCCGAAAUGUUAAUUCCCCAGUAGCCAGGAUUCGAACCCAGGUGGCGGUACUCACAGCUGUAAGCCCUUUACCACUAGAGGUAGAAGCCCCGGUUUCUCUAAAAUCUCCGAUUAAUCCAGGGUUUCUCUUCAAGUCUCGAAUUUUCAAUGUUCAAGCUAGAGCUGCUGCUGAGAAGACCGUUCACAAUUUCACUGUAAAGGACAUUGAUGGGAAUGAUGUUUCAUUGAACAAGUAUAAGGGGAAAGUUAUGUUGAUCGUCAAUGUCGCUUCAAGAUGGUAAGCACCUUCUUCUUUUUAAUGUGAUGUGAUCUAGAAAGGGUUGCACGAGAAGUAUACCAAAUAUAUCCAAAGAAAGGCUCGGUUUGGGCUGUCUACUCAGAGACAGAUACAUGUCACCAGAGAAGAAAGACCAGAGGGUGGGUAUGAGAUUGUCGUAUGCUUGACUAUGUAUUGCGAUGCGUAUGGCUUGAGUGUGGCGUAUUUGGAGAAGGUUAAUGAUAACUUGUUUAAGAGACGUGAUUACGCCUGGGUGUAAUGCGGUCAGGCGGAAAGAAGAUGUUGCGGCCUUGCUCUCUCAUCAGAUCCCGGCUAGGAAGCUCCCGGAAGAUCAAUCUGGAGAUGGUGUGAGAGAGUCUUGGGUGCUUGAUCUUGCUUCUGUUCCUCCUGAUCUGGUUUCUGCCACUUUAGUAGAAACAUAGAUGUUUUUUUUUUCUUUUGGAUCUCUUCAUCAUCAUAAAGAUUAUUAUCAUGAGGUACCUCAUGUCAAACAUUUUUAUCGCCAAGAUUAUUUAUUGUAUAUAUUCAUAUACGGUUCGGUGUUUAGACACCUUUUGGUUUUCUUAGAAAAUGUGAAAAAUUCUGAGACCAA